UACGUAGGGGGCUAGCGUUGUCCGGAAUCAUUGGGCGUAAAGCGCGCGUAGGCGGCCCGGUAAGUCCGCUGUGAAAGUCAAAGGCUCAACCUUUGAAUGUCAGCGGAUACUGCCGGGCUAGAGUCCGGAAGAGGCGAGUGGAACUCCUGGUGUAGCGGUGGAAUGCGCAGAUAUCAGGAAGAACACCAACGGCGAAGGCAGCUCGCUGGGACGUGACUGACGCUGAGACGCGAAAGCGUGGGGGAGCAAACAGG
rnacentral:rRNA from 1 species